rnacentral:tRNA from 1 species
GCUGAUAUGGCUCAGUCGGUAGAGCGCAUCCUUGGUAAGGAUGAGGUCCCCAGUUCGAUUCAAUGUGUGAAUG